rnacentral:lncRNA from 1 species
AAUAUGGGACCAGGCAUGGUGGCUCACGCCUGUAAUCCCAACACUUUGGGAGGCCAACAUGGCAAAACCCCAUCUCUACUAAAAAUACAAAAAUUAGCUGGGCAUGGUGGCAAGCGCCUGUAAUCCCAGCUACUCGAGAGGCGGAGGUUGCAGUGAGCCGAGAUCACGCCACUGCACGCCAGCCUGGGCAACAGACUCUGUCUCAGGAGAAAAAAAAAAAAGUAAACGCCCUGAUACUUUUGACAUAUGAUGGUAUAGUUCAACAAGCAUUUUUUAGCCACAGGCAGUGUAUCAGCCACCGUGUUAAGUAGUGGCGAUAUAAAUAGGAUUCCUCCAGCCUGGCCAACAUGGCAAAAACCCAUCUCUACUAAAAAUACAAAAAUUAGCCAGGCAUGGUGGAACACCCCUGUAGUCCCAGCUACUUGGGAGGCUGAGGCAGGAAAAUCGCUUGAGCCCAGGAGGCGGAGGUUGUAGUGA